GAUGAACGCUGACAGAAUGCUUAACACAUGCAAGUCUUUGGCGAAGCUGUGCUUGCACAGCCUAGCCAAGGCGGACGGGUGAGUAACGCGUAAGGAACUUGCCCUGCAGUCAGGGAUAACAGACGGAAACGACUGAUAAGACCUGGUAAAGUCAGGCGGACUCAUGUCCAGCCUGAUGAAAAGAGAUGCUGCAGGAGAGCCUUGCGUCCUAUUAGCUUGUUGGUGGGGUAACGGCCCACCAAGGCGAUGAUAGGUAGCCGGCCUGAGAGGGUGGACGGCCACAAGGGGACUGAGAUACGGCCCUUACUCCUACGGGAGGCAGCAGUGGGGAAUAUUGGACAAUGGGGGCAACCCUGAUGCAGCAAUUCUGUGUGCACGAUGAAGGUUUUCGGAUUGUAAAGUGCUUUCAGAAGGGAAGAAAAAAAUGACGGUACCUGCAGAAGAAGCGACGGCUAAAUACGUG
rnacentral:rRNA from 1 species